AUAGUACUCCCUACGUCUGAAAAUACUUGUCAUCAAAAUGGAUAAAAAGGGAUGUAUCUAGAACUAAUAUACAUCUAGAUACAUCCCAUUUUAUUCAUUUUGAUGACAAGUAUUUCCGGACGGAGGGAGUAAAAU
rnacentral:pre_miRNA from 1 species